UUAACCCAAAAACUGAAGAACGUCACUUCAGUGCUACAUAAGGCAGUGCCCACACAUUUCUGCUCACGUUGUUUUUUGUUUACUCUCUGACUUAAUAUCGGUUAUUUUUUUAUCUCACUCCAGGUUGAGAUUUGUACACACUGAAUUUUUGCCUGGUUAUCACAGCGGUUGAACCCGUUAAUUUAAACACACGGGACAAUUAAGCUUCAGGGCGCACUGCCAAGUUUGAGGAUACAACAUAGGAAACAUCGGAGAGACUGACAGAACACCACACCCACCGCGAACAGAAGGGGACAGUUGUUUAACAGGUUGAUUAAGACAUCUACUUUGUGACCCUUUAAUGGAGAUUCAGCUGUUUUUCUUAAAAUUUGGGAAACAUAUAAAUAAUGAUGUUCAUUCAUAUGUUACUCUUGUGUUUACAUCGGCAAUUAUGUUUGAAUGUUUGGUUCCUUAUUACACCAUAUUCAGUGGCUGAAUGACACGUUCUCCAGAUGACCUUUGUCCCAACUUGGCCAAGACGAUAUUGGAACGCCCCAAACAGAUGGCAGCAUUGUUAUUGUCUGUAAUCCUAUUAAAAUUUUCCAGGAUUUGUUCUUUAUUUAUGUAUUGUCAAUUGUUUUCUGUUCGUACAAAACAAUAACUUGAGCACAUCAAAGCUGUUGAUGUGAAGUAUUACUAAUAAUAACAGCGACUACAACACAAAAAUUAAUUAUGAUUAUUUGACGUUUUGUCAAUAACAAACAACAGCUCAAUUACCACGGAUUUCCAAUAAAUUAUAUUUUCAGUGACUGUAGACUAUAAAUGUGCGGUGACUUGAUGUUGAAAAAAACAGACAUCAUUUAUUAAACACCAGGAUUUCUGUAUGAUUUCAGGAAACAAAUUGUUUCUGUAUGAACGCUGGAUGUUAAAAAGACAACUCUAAACUGCAUUGCUGGCUUUAAUUUGUAUGAAGAAGCAGCUGAAAGGAGUAUGAAUGGUGAUUUUAGCUUAAUCUAACCUCUCAUACACCUGCUUCUACCUCAAAGACAAUAACUGUUAUCGCCUAAAUGGGCAUAUUGUAAGAAAUAGGAGACCCUGCUGAGCACAAUGUGUGAAAUUCAUGUGUGUAGUGUCAAAUUUGUGCUCUUAAUGUGAGAGGUAAAUCACCCACCCCUACUAUGUAUAGCACCUACUGUUAUGACUGUAAUAACUGUUGUAAUAUAUGUAACAUUAUCACAAUGUUGCAAAAACUAUGCACUAUGUCCAUCCUGUCACCACAUCUUUUGCAACAGUGUGUUAAUGUUACAUAUAUUACAACAGUUAUUAGUUAGUUAGAGUCUGGAUGAAUUAGCUGACGUUAUCCACUCGAGACAGUAUUUUUCGGCGUUAGCGGCUUUAAAAAAAUACAGCAUCUUCUGUUUCAGAUGUAUAGCCUAUACAUCUGAAACAGAAGAUGCUGUAUUUUUUUUACCCUUUAUCUAUCCAGAUAAAAACAGUUUCUGUAUGAUGUUUAUUAGACCUAUGUAAUCUGAAUUGGAAGGGCACGUUGUCAUGAGCUGCAUCUUGUAUAUUUAUUAUUAGCUAUGUGGUAUGUGUAUGCACCUUUAUGUAAUCUGGUGGAAAAACAUUAAAAUUUAAAACUGGAUCAUACCAAACAAA